rnacentral:rRNA from 1 species
UACGUAGGGACCAAGCGUUGUUCGGAUUUACUGGGCGUAAAGGGCGCGUAGGCGGCGCGGUAAGUCACUUGUGAAAUCUCUGAGCUUAACUCAGAACGGCCAAGUGAUACUGCAGUGCUAGAGUGUGGAAGGGGCAAUCGGAAUUCUUGGUGUAGCGGUGGAAUGCGCAGAUAUCAGGAGGAACACCGGUGGCGAAGGCGGGUCUCUGGGCAGUAACUGACGCUGAGGAGCGAAAGCGUGGGGAGCGAACAGG